rnacentral:rRNA from 1 species
CACGUAGGGGACGAGCGUUGUCCGGAUUCAUUGGGCGUAAAGCGCGCGUAGGCGGCUCGGAAAGUCGGGUGUGAAAGCCCGGGGCUCAACCCCGGGACUGCAUCCGAUACUUCCGGGCUGGAGGUAGGUAGGGGAGAUCGGAAUUCCUGGUGUAGCGGUGAAAUGCGCAGAUAUCAGGAGGAACACCGGUGGCGAAGGCGGAUCUCUGGGCCUUACCUGACGCUGAGGAGCGAAAGCUAGGGGAGCGAACAGG